ensembl:lncRNA
ACAUGCCAAAAUGUGUUAGCUGCAGAAUGAUGAUUCUUGAUGGUGAGAAACGGUAAUUUACCUGUUAAUGAUGAACAGUUCUGAAGUAUCCAGGUGUGCCAGUCGCCCAGGUACAGCUCAUAUGUUGAUAACAGAAUUUGGUGGAGCCAAUCAGAUGAAUCCCACUCCUACUAACUAUGAAGAUGUGGAGGUGCUGGCAGAAAAGCUGUCUCCAGAAAAGCUAAAAGCCAUGACAAAUACAGAAGACCUUAGCAAAGUCGCCACAUUGGAGUUGUGUGUGGACACACAACACAAUACCCUAGGCAAUUUUGGUACCUACUUGCCCAACCUGACACAGCUGAGAAUGAGCAAUAGUAUGAUUUUUUCAGUGAGGUAAGAGUAAAACUGUUCUCUUCAGUCCUCUAAGUUUCAUUGUGAACAACCAUCUGUC